rnacentral:rRNA from 1 species
AUAGCGGAGAAAAGAAACUAACAAGGAUUCCCCUAGUAACUGCGAGUGAAGCGGGAAAAGCUCAAAUUUAAAAUCUGGCGGUCUUUUGGCUGUCCGAGUUGUAAUCUAGAGAAGUGUUAUCCGCGCUGGACCGUGUACAAGUCUCCUGGAAUGGAGCAUCAUAGAGGGUGAGAAUCCCGUCUUUGACAUGGACUGCCAGGGCUUUGUGAUGCGCUCUCAAAGAGUCGAGUUGUUUGGGAAUGCAGCUCAAAAUGGGUGGUAAAUUCCAUCUAAAGCUAAAUAUUGGCGAGAGACCGAUAGCGAACAAGUACCGUGAGGGAAAGAUGAAAAGAACUUUGGAAAGAGAGUUAAACAGUACGUGAAAUUGCUGAAAGGGAAACGCUUGAAGUCAGUCGCGUUGUCCAGGGAUCAACCUUGCUUUUGCUUGGUGCACUUUCUGGUUCAAUGGGUCAGCAUCAAUUUUGAUCAUUGGAAAAAGAUUGAGGGAAUGUGGCAUCUUUGGAUGUGUUAUAGCCCUUUGUCGCAUACAAUGGUUGGGAUUGAGGAACUCAGCACGCCGCAAGGCCGGGUUUUUAACCACGUACGUGCUUAGGAUGCUGGCAAUAUGGCUUUAAUCGACCCGUCUUGAAACACGGACCAAGGAGUCUAACAUGCCUGCGAGUGUUUGGGUGGAAAACCCGAGCGCGUAAUGAAAGUGAAAGGUUGAGAUCCCUGUCGUGGGGAGCAUCGACGCCCGGACCAGACCUUUUGUGACGGUUCCGCGGUAGAGCAUGUAUGUUGGGACCCGAAAGAUGGUGAACUAUGCCUGAAUAGGGUGAAUCCAGAGGAAACUCUGGUGGAGGCUCGUAGCGAUUCUGACGUGCAAAUCGAUCGUCAAAUUUGGGUAUAGGGGCGAAAGACUAAUCGAACCUCUAGAGUGGU